ensembl:lncRNA
GUGAUGUCAGAGAAGCCUCUUGGUUGGGCUCUGGUGACAGUUUAAAUCCUCAACAGUCAUACUGGUGUCAGGGACGCAGAGCAGUGCCUCUGGGUUGCCGGUCCAGGGGAUGUGUCCCUGAGCAUUUGAGGAGAGGAGAGGGGGUGGUCAGCUGUUUCAUUUUGGGGUUCUUCCUGACCCUUAGAAGACUGAGAUGAGCCCGACUGCAAAGAAGAUGAAGUUGAAGUCACUCUUCUAGAAACUGGGCGGAUCUUGUGGUGAUAAAGAGGGAAGGAUGGGCCUUUGAACAUGGCUCAGCUUACCAGACAUCAUAUCUGGACCUGGAUCUUCCUGGCGUCACCCUCAUUGGCUGUCCUGGAGACACACUUUGCGAUCCCUGCAAGCUCAUUUCAGUCCUCAGAGUGCCUGCAACCCUUGCCACUGAGAUUCGAGUGAAGAAUGAGAUAAGUACUAAGAAUGUGGUCGAUUGGGCUUGAGUCCCCUCACAAACUUAUACUGGAUAACCCAGCAGGAGACUUCGCGUGCUGAACACUCCCCCGUGUGAUUCCCACAAUGAAAGGACAUUGCUGACUGGAACCAGAGUGUGUCCCCCAACCCCUCAUUUCCAAACCAUGUUCUGGCCAACUGACCAGACACAGGUCUCUAGUAGCUUCUGGUGUUUCAGAGACCAAGGAAGGUCAAGUUUGGUGAUAGUUCUAGAUUUCUUUGGCUUCUGUACACUCAGAGCUUACAUUAGGAGAACCCUCGUUCUCUCAUGAGUUCCCACACAGCCCGCUGUUCUGGUCAUGCUCUGCUGAAGCAGUCUGCCCAUCAUGGCCUGCUAACUGGUCUUCCAUGGAGGCACUGAGGCUGCGUCACCUUGACCUUCAGAGCCAUACCCCACAAGGCUGUCCAGAUGUGGCCUCCAUCCUCCUUGUAAAGCUUGUGCUGUCAGUCGUCAGCCCUAAGGCUGGGGUGUUCCUCAGUUGCCUUGGUCUCAGCCUCCCUACUUACCAACAGGCUCAUUUGCCGUGCACAUGGAGCUUCCAGAUACCCUGUUCUUCUGGCUGUGCGUAGGCGCUGCCAGCGCUGCUUCUGACCCCAUAACCCAAGGCGAUGGGGAUCUGACUGGAUCUCUAUUUUUGGGUUGCUUUUGCAACAGCUGGCCCAUGAUGAAGUGGGUCAAGCCCUUCCUACUGAGUAUGCAUUCCAAGUCCCGGGCUAUAGAUACCAGCCACCUGAGAGUCCAAACCAGUAUCUUCUCUUUUCCUUACAUAGAGUCUCCACAAGCGGAGCCAGGUCCCUUUUGUAGAUGUGUCGCUUCCAUGUCAGACAGGAUGUUUCUAAUGGGCACAUCCUUCCUUCAGUAAACCCCUCAAAGGGCCUCACUCCCUAGGGGGCCGGAGGCUCUUUCCCAUCAGUUGGGAAGUGGCUGCAAUCUUUCCCUCUUGGAUCUGCAAAAUUUGGGGACCAAGGACCUUCUUGCUGUUUGGUGACAGAAAACAGGCUAAGCCCUUGUGAAAAGGAAUGAAAAGAAUGUGGAAGGAAAGUAGUCACUCUCUUGUUCUUUACCUAUUCUGCUGUUUAAUGAAGAGUCCAUGUGAAUGGAUUAAAAACAGGCAUGUAAGGCAAUACUCACAAGGAAAAGUGUCUAAAAUGGACCUGUGUUUAAUUUCACAGAGAGCCAAGAAAACCCAGGGAGGCCAGUUUACACCCGUUACCCACUGGAUUUGAAAAGGAUGGUCACUUCCUUCCGGUAGUGGAUGACUACUUUGUCAAGAAAUUGAAGGGUUUGGGAACUCCCUUCGCCUUGUGCAAUUUGACACAUUUUAUAUUUAUGAAUGAAUGUUGCAAAAAAAAAAAAAUACUUGGGUCUUGGGUGAGGAUUUCUCAGGGAUUAAAAAAAUAAAAUAGAUGCAGGACACACAGUCCGCCCUGCUUCCUCCCAUCCAGUCCCAGGGGCCUCAAGCCCACAGCCAUGACAGAGAAAAUAUUUUUCUUUGUUUGUAUCCAAGAGAGAAGCAGCUGUCUGUCCUUCUGUCCCCUUCCAUCCCCGCCUCUCUCUGGAAAGACAGGAGAAAAACUUUUGUUUCUUGGGAGAAGAGCCGGGAUUCUCCCUCUAGCCCUUUGGAAUAUAAUAAGCCUCUCUCCAAAAGCCUGAAAUUGUCUUGAACAUUUGGAACCAGAGGGAGGGCUCCAGGGUGUAGAAUGGAAAUACCUGGGGAAGCGGGAAGUAGCUGUCCCUUCUCCCGACAUCUUAAGAACUUCACCUGAGGUGUUAGUCUGGGCUUUAACUACUUGGUCCUCUUAGGGAGUUCACUGAAAGUUUUAUUAUCCUCGUGGAUCAGAGAAAAUAGAAUAAAUGGAUGAGGUAAAAGAAAAAAAAUCUGAGCUUUAGGGAAAAUCAAGGCAAACUGCUGUCAGCUGGACACCCAGGUCUGUGUCCCAGAAGUACUAAGACACUCUAAAAAGCUUUGGUUUACAAAAAUAUAAGAUAGAACAAAAAACCAUCACACGGAAGUUGUGAUGUGGGGCAAACUAACAGAAGGAAAAAAGCCCAAGGGAAGGCACUAGAACCAGAGACUGGUUCCCACACUCGAUAGUUUCAUGAAAAUACUUAAAAACUGAAAGCUUUACUGUAUAUGCAAAGGAACUGGCUCAGAACCAAGGUUUUUGACGACAUUGCAUAGAGUGUAGUUAGGAUUUUGCAGAUGGAAAUGAGCAUCCUUACGAUCCUUCCUGGGGAGGCAGACACCCAGGAAAAUCGGCUCUUUGACUGACACGACUUUAACUCCAGAAAUUCCACUUUGUGGAAUCGUGACAAAGGUGAAGCAUGAGGUUCAGAGGAGAUACAAGAAUUACAACUGCAAGAUGCCUGAGAUCGACAGACCCGAAAGCAAAUGUAAAAGGAAGCAAUGCGGCGGAAGUGGAGAGGGGCAGGCCUCCCGAGAGCCUCUGGGAACGGAAGUGAUGUCCAGCCCCGCCCUCCCCGUAAGAUGUAAAGCUGGAUACAGGGUAAAUGGCCGUUUUUUUUUUUUUUUCUUCUUCCCCAAUUUUGCCAGCUUGUCUCAAUGUUUUGGUCUUCCAGUUUUCCUUUGAGAACGUGUCUAGUAACAGACCUGAGAGAACAGUUGUGACUGCAGACCUGAGCUCGUGGGGUGCUAGUGCAUUGUGUUGGAUUGUUCUUAAAUGAUCCUCUUAUAUCCUGAUCUGGGAUACUUUUCUUUGUCUACUUAAAUGAAAAGUGCGAAGCACAGCUCUUGUCCCAAAAGGAAUAAGAGAAUCUGUCUUGAGCCAAAUAUGAAUGACCAAUGCGCAGAAACUCACAUGGUAGUUUUCUCAAAUGUGAUGUACUCUCCUCCAUGGAAGAGAUUACAUGAACAGUCAUGCAUAUAGAACAAGAAGUCAUGUGUGAAUGCAUUUGCCCAAUACAUUGGUGCAGACAUUAGGUACACAGUCACAGAAGAGAAAGGAACCCUCAUCAAAAGGACUUGGGUUGGGGUUUGGGAUUGGUGGGACACGGUGAGCACAUUGCAAAAGUUUUGCCUGAUAGUAAAAAUGACUUCCGGUCAGAUACCGAGCCUGGUCGUCUUGUUAACAUUGUCUAGAGGUCAUUUUAGCACUCGACAUAGAACUCCCCAAUCUCCCGGCCAGAAUUCGAUUGGUCAGUUGCUGCAGAAUCUUCCGUGUGAAUGUGUCCUUUUCAGAAAAUGAUAAUGCACAGCAUGGGGCAAGAUGUGGAGACAGCAGUAUCGUCUUUUGAAGAGUGCACAAAGAGUUUAAAUGCAGCCAAGGGGAGUGUGCACGCGUAGCUCAGUGCCAAUGGGAAUUGCAUGAGUUUAUGCCAAGGAACAAACUGUAUCUGUGAGUGGACACGGGCAGGGCUGUCACAGGAACAAAUGGAAGUGUUUUUUAAGGAACUUGUUUUUUAAGAGAACUUCAUUCUCUCAACGAUAUACUCUAUGCCAGGAACUAUACUCUUCCAAACAUGCAGUGCUGGGCAGCAGUCUUGGUACCCGUGAAAUUGUUCCCCGGUUGUAGGGGUGAGGCAUUAUAGUCAGACACAUGUCCCACGAGGUCAGGCAGCAGAAAUGUCUUGAUGAAAAAACCAAACUGCAUGACCCAGACAUGGGGCUGCUGUUCUAAAUGGGGUGAUGAGGGAAGGCUUCUCUUUAAGGGACAAUAACUGAGCAGAGACCCAAAGAAAGAGGGAUGCCAAGUGCUACUGAGGCAAGCAUCACUUUGUGGCUCGCUUCUAUUCUCCAGAGGCUCGGGUUCGUAGCACAGCUAACGCAACCCUAGCAUGUUCUGGGUUAUCUUCUAGUGUGAGAAGACACCUGGGUCCAUAGCCUGCCACCUUAGUUUGUCUGCAUUCCUACACUAAAUAAAUAUAUAUCUUAUCAUUUAUAUAAUCGGUAAUCGGAAAUUGGUAAAGAAAAAUGGAUUUAUUUACAGUUUGGACAAAAUGGAAAGAGAUGGAGACAUUUUCUCCUGCAGCUCCAUAUAGUGUGUGCCACCUUUCAUAUGUGCACAGAACACACAUAGAAAGGAAGUGUGGGACUCGGGACUCUGCCAGGUGCAAAGUUCUGGUGCCUCUCUCUCUCUCUCUCUCUCUCUCUCUCUCUCUCUCUCUCUCUCUCUCUCUCCCUCUCUCUCUCUCUCUCUCUCUCUCUCUCUCUCUCUCUCCCCCCCCCUCCAGGUUUGGAGGUGUGAUGUUCCCACCACACAGCAGAGGCGUUACCAUCUACCUCCUCCCUCCCGGAAAUAGACAGUAGCUGUUCAUUACCUAGAGCGGCACUGUUCCGGGAAAUGUAAGGUGCAAAGAGUAAGCACUCUGCAGAGUCAUGUUUCGGGCUCAGCUCCUGGUUUCCUAUUGUGUGACCUUAACCCUGACCCCUCUGUAACAGUAUCACUAAAACAAGGACCUUUUUACCUAUCCCACAGUAACAGUGGAUGUCAAGGACUUCAUCGAUGUCUGGUGUGGAAGUGUUAAAUCUGUGUCUUACUGUUGUUACUGCUACCAAAGAGUCAGUCCUCACUGAACUUAGAGAAUUCUUUUCCCCGAGUGUAUUGAGUAUAAUUAACAAAUAAAGCAUCCGCGUAUUUAAGAUGGAAUGUGGUGUUUUCAUAUAUGCACUGGGAAGGAUUACCAAAAUCACGUCUGUUGAUAUCGGGACCACAGCGCACCUUCUGUGUCAG